rnacentral:lncRNA from 1 species
UCAAUUAGGUGAUAUAGCUUGAUUUUAAUGGAGAUUAAUUGUAGUUUCAUGUAUGGAGAGAAAAGACAUUCUAGAUCUAGGGUUUCCUUUUUUUAUUUUUGUUUCAUAAAAUUGGAAUGUGGUUGACAUGAAUAGUUAUUGGUAAACUAAUAGUUCUUGCUAAUAUUAAUUGUUUCUAAUAAUGGUAGAUAAUAAUUGGUAAUAUUAAUUAUGUCUAA